rnacentral:rRNA from 1 species
CACGUAGGGGGCGAGCGUUGUCCGGAUUUAUUGGGCGUAAAGAGCUCGUAGGCGGCUUAGUAAGUCAGGUGUGAAAACUCCAGGCUCAACCUGGAGACGCCACUUGAUACUGCUGUGGCUAGAGUCCGGUAGGGGAGCAUGGAAUUCCUGGUGUAGCGGUGAAAUGCGCAGAUAUCGGGAGGAACACCAAUUGCGAAGGCAGCUCGCUGGGACGUUACUGACGCUGAGACGCGAAAGCGUGGGGAGCAAACAGG